GCGAUUGUUGCUACGACGAAGGAGACGUGAUUUCUUCUUUAGAGAAAAUUAGGGUUUUGCAUUUUGGUGGCUUGCGGGUUGCUAGGAUGGUGGUGGCCAUGAGUAGCUCGAUCUGUGUCUUAGUUUUCUGCGAUUUGGGAUUAGGGAUUUCUAUGCGAUUUAAAGUUCAUGAUAUCUUUGGUUGUAGGUUCAAUGGAUUUUGUGAUUUGGGAAGAUGAGAUGCAGGUGGUUCGUGGCUUGGGUGAGUUCAUUGCAAGUUUUUGGAGAUUUGAUGUCGUGAGGCUGUUGGAAUUGUCACGUAGAAGAAGUUGAUAGAUUCUUUAUUUGCUCAUAAGGAACUUAGCGUAUCUGAUUUCAAUGAUCUUUUACGUUUUUAAAGCAACCUUUUUGAAUUGAUAUAGUUAGACUGAUAGUAGUAAAGUAAUUGUAUACUGAUUGGUUGAAUCAUUUUCACCAUAUUUUUUCCACACAGAACAAAACUUAUUCACCACUUUCUCUCUUCCUUCAACCCUAACUUCAUCAUAUGUUCUUCUUUCACAACAAUACUACUUCUCUUUCAUCCCUUCUUCACUCUUCCAACAACUCUUUCCACCCUUACCAUUCAUGUUCGCCACUUUCUUUUCUGAACAACCCAAACCUUUCUUUUACAAGUUGUUUGUUUCGCGAUGCCUGUCAAGAUUUGUCCAUGGUGGUCCACGGUGGUGCGAAGAUGACGCGAUGUCGAACACUCUGUGAAUCUUAAAAUUGCCGCGUCUCCAAUAUCAAACUCUCUCCAUUCCCAAUUUCGUUUUCAUGAACCUAAUUUCAUGAUCUCC
rnacentral:lncRNA from 1 species